rnacentral:hammerhead_ribozyme from 1 species
AUCUCUGACGAGUCCUAAAUAGGACGAAACGCGUGUCCUGGAU